UACGGAGGGGGCUAGCGUUAUUCGGAAUUAUUGGGCGUAAAGGGCGUGUAGGCGGCUUCGUAAGUCUUGUGUGAAAGCCCUCGGCCCAACCGAGGAAUUGCACGAGAAACUGCGUGGCUCGAGUCCGGGAGAGGAUAGUGGAAUUCCCAGUGUAGCGGUGAAAUGCGUAGAUAUUGGGAGGAACACCGGUGGCGAAGGCGGCUAUCUGGACCGGUACUGACGCUGAUACGCGAAAGCCAGGGGAGCAAACGGG
rnacentral:rRNA from 1 species